GACGUAGGGCGCGAGCGUUGUCCGGAUUUAUUGGGCGUAAAGAGCUCGUAGGCGGCUUGUCGCGUCGUCCGUGAAAACUUGGGGCUCAACCCCAAGCUUGCGGUCGAUACGGGCAGGCUAGAGUUCGGUAGGGGAGACUGGAAUUCCUGGUGUAGCGGUGAAAUGCGCAGAUAUCAGGAGGAACACCGGUGGCGAAGGCGGGUCUCUGGGACGGUACUGACGCUGAGACGCGAAAGCGUGGGGAGCGAAACAGG
rnacentral:rRNA from 1 species